rnacentral:rRNA from 1 species
UACGGAGGGUGCAAGCGUUAAUCGGAAUUACUGGGCGUAAAGCGUGCGUAGGUGGCUUUACAAGUCAGGGGUGAAAUCCUGGGGCUCAACCCCAGAAUUGCCUUUGAAACUGUAGAGCUAGAGUAUCGGAGGGGAUAGCGGAAUUGCUAAUGUAGAGGUGAAAUUCGUAGAUAUUAGCAGGAACACCGGUGGCGAAGGCGGCUAUCUGGACGAUUACUGACACUCUGGCACGAAAGCGUGGGGAUCAAACAGG